AAGUGCACUUAUUUAUUUAUUUAUUAUAAGUUGUCACAUCAUUUUUUUAUUUUUCUAUAUUAAGUGUAUCUAAAAAUUUUAAAAAUAAGAAUGGACUAUAUUUGUUUUUCAUUUACGUUUUGUUUUUCAUUUGUAAAGACUUCUACAUGAUGCAAUUGGGUGCCAUGUUUUUACUUUAAGGAGAAAUUGUGCCUAUUUUUGGUGUUGUUCAUUAAUAUAAGACAUUAAGGUUUAGUGGAUUAGGUGGAUGCUUUUAGGAAAAAUAUUUGGUAGGUUAAGACCUAAAAUUAUCAUUGUAAUAGUUACAGUACAAGCCAAGGCAUUUGCUUCAGGAUAUUUUUUCUGACUAGGGGUUAAUUUCAUCAUAAUAUGUUACGGUGUAUGACAUGACGAUGGAAAUGAAUAGUAGUAUUUUGUCUUUAUGGUAAUAUUAGAAGUAAACUGAAGUACUCACCUCUUUUUCCCUUGUUUGGCCAUGGGAUGACAAAAAAAAACCUCAUUUAUCUGCAAUUGAAAUGCUUGGUAGUUAGGGGGUCUUAGUUCUCAGUUGUUUGGUGUGUUGUGAGGGUGUGUGAACACCGUGUUCAACGUAUGGCUUCCCUGGCUGGAUCUGUUUCUUAGUCUUAAGUUUAUGUGUAUAACAGACACCUUUUUUAUAUAUAUUUUUAUUUUAUAAGUUAUCACUGUCUUAUUUUUGUAGGAAGUAGUUUUGUUUUUCCUUGUUUACAGGUUUAUUUGUGGAACACCUUUGAGAUCUAGUUUUUUAAUGGCUCAUUUAUUGGCAUGAUUAAUUUAGUUCAGAUGUAUUUUCAACAUAAAAAAAAAAGAGAAUAUUUUCAAAUGUUUUGAUGUUUAACAUUUUCUUGUGGUAUUGUGUUAUGCUUCUAGGGAAAUAGUCUCCAGCAAGUUCUGGUUGUUGCUGCUUUUGCGGUGUCUGGAUAUGCUUCAUCUGAAGGUUAUUCACCACCCAACAGUUGUUGCCUGCCAUUGCGAAGGAAAAGGCUGGAAAUUCUAGGGUGACAGUAACCUUAGAACCAAAUUUUGGGGGACAUCAAUUCAGCUUGACCUUAUUGGAACUCCAGGAGCUUCAUGAUGGUGAGGUUUUUCAGUGGAGCAGCAAGGUCACAACAUCCAUUUGUAAUCUUAUCCUUGGUAAAGUGUACCUUAAUCACCAUGGGACAAUGCACAUACGUGGCAAUCGCCAAUAUUCAUGCAAACUCAAGUUCAAAGAGCAGUCUAUUCUUGACUGAAAUUUGCACCAGUCACUGGUUUUGUACCAUGCUGCUCAAACUUUUUGAGGGGGAAAGUCUAUAGAUAGAUUACAUGCAUCAUAGGCUUUAUGUGAGAUCUUACAUUUCAAGACAUACCAAACCAAACUAAGCCUUGUGUCCCGAGAUGAGUGGAGAGGUACUUUAUUUCUCAUUUAACAUAAAAUUGAACUUAUAACCAAUUGUUGUCCACAUUAUUUCUUAUUUUUCCUUGUGUAUUGCACAGAGUUCAAAAAAAGCUGAGAAAAGAAUUAGGAAGGAGUGUGAAGCUAUAAUUGCUGUGACAAUGGAUGAAAGAAGAAAUGCAUCAUUCAGAAUUUCAGAUGAGUGUUCUACUUCUCUACAUGUUGAAUCAUAUGAUAUGGAAGGAGUUGUAGACUCCACUCAAGUACCAAAGAAGAGAACUAGGGGGGCAUCAAAGUUAAAUAUACAUGACAAAGGAAAACAAAAGUGAUAAAAUUGAUUUACGAUUUGUAGUUAUACUUUUUGGUUGUUUAAAGUCGUAUUUUAGAGAUUAGUGAAUCUUAUGAUUUUGAUACUU